AAAUAUUUUUUCCCCCAUAGAUAUACAUGAAUGUCUGUUCAGUCCAUCUGUAUGCGGUCCAUAUUCCAUCUGCACUAAUCAGUUGGGAAGUUACAAUUGCUCAUGUUUGGAUGGAUUCACCACAGCAAACUCAAGUCUCCCCAUCAGCAUCGAUAACACAUGUAGAGAUGUGAAUGAAUGUGUUGAGAUAUCAGAUGUCUGUGGUCCAAACUCAAUCUGUAACAACACUGUUGGGAGUUACAAUUGUUCGUGCAAGAGUGGAUAUAAUGUAACAGACCCAAACCUCCCUAUAAACAGCAAUAACACAUGUAAAGACAUAAAUGAAUGUUCAUUCAGUCCAUCUGUAUGUGGUCCAAGUGCCACCUGCACAAAUCAGUUAGGAAGUUAUAAUUGCUCAUGUCUGGAUGGAUUCACUGCAACAAACUCAAGUCUCACCAUCAGCAUCAAUAACAUAUGUACAGCACCACCAACACCUACUACACCAUCUACAACAAUCAAUACAACUACAACACCUACUACACCAUCUACAACAAUCAAUACAACUACAACA